rnacentral:rRNA from 1 species
CUGCGAAUGGCUCAUUCAAACAGUUAUAGUUUAUUUGAUAUUCAAACUUAUAUUUAUAUUAGUUUAAAUGGAUAACCGUAGUAAUUCUAGAGCUAAUACAUGCGUUACGGGGGACUUUAUGGAACCUCAGUAUUUAUUAGAUUUCAAAACCAAUAUUCCGCAAGGUCUACUGAGAUGAUUCAUGAUAACUGAUCGAAUUGCUGGGUCUACCGGCAAUAAAUCAUUCAUGUUUCUGCUUCCCAUCAGCUUGAUGGUAGUGUAUUGGACAACCAUGGCAUUCACGGGCUAUCGGGGGAUUAGGGUUCGAUUCCGGAGAGGGAGCCUGAGAAACGGCUACCACUUCUACGGAAGGCAGCAGGCGCGAAAAUUAUCCAAUCCUGAUUCAGGGAGGUAGUGAAAGAUAUAAUGAACUAGGAUUUAUCCUGGGAUCACAAUGGGCUUGAUUUGCAAACUUUAUUUAGCGAGGAACGAUU